CCUACGGGUGGCAGCAGUAGGGAAUCUUUCACAAUGGGCGAAAGCCUGAUGGAGCAACGCCGCGUGCAGGAUGAAGGCCUUCGGGUUGUAAACUGCUUUUAUAAGCGAGAAAUAUGAUGGUAACUUAUGAAUAAGGAUCGGCUAACUACGUGCCAGCAGCCGCCGUCAUACGUAGGAUCCGAGCAUUAUCCGGAGUGACUGGGUGUAAAGAGUUGCGUAGGUGGCCUAAUAAGUAGCUAGUGAAAUCUGGUGGCUCAACCAUUCAGACUAUUAGCUAAACUGUUAAGCUCGAGACCGUUAGGGGUAACUGGAAUUUCUAGUGUAGGAGUGAAAUGCGUAGAUAUUAGAAGGAACACCAAUAGCGUAGGCAGGUUACUGGGACGGUUCUGACACUAAGGCACGAAAGCGUAGGGAGCAAACGGGAUUAGAUACCCUUGUAGUC
rnacentral:rRNA from 1 species